GCGCCCGUGCAGCCGACUUGUACAACUCCGAUUCUAUUUCAAACCGGUUACUUUCCUAAUCUAAUCACAUGGUCACGUUGAUCACUAGGACUACUAUAGGAAACAAGCAACUAUUCUCUAUGGACAAGGUUGUUAAUUCCAACAGUUUGGUGGAUCGCUGCUAGACAACUUUCCAAUCAGCUGAAGCAAAUGGAACAAGUUGAUAUGUUGUGGUUUUGUAAUGAUGGUAGUUGUUGGCCUCCAUUUCUACUGCUUUUGCUUUGCGCUGUGUCAGAUACCUUUUUAGCUUGCCCAGUACAGGGGUUACUUUAGCCUCCCUUGCUCUAGUGUUAAACUGGAACACUUGUAGAGUUCUUUAGAUGUUUUUCCCCUUUCUCUGUAGCAACACAUUGGUUUUACAGAAAUGAAAUAGGAGAGGGGAGCUCUUUUUUUUUCAGAAAGAAGUUUUGAUAUUGUAUAAAAAAACACAGGUCUGAAUUUAAAAUUGGCUAUCAUACCCAAACUCUUGAUUUUCUACGCAAAAAGGGAAUAUGUGCUUAAUUACAAACACUUCACAUAAUAAAUACUCAUGCACUUAUUUGUCUUGCUAGGACCACUCAACUAGGUUUAUUGAAACGAUUAGGCAUACAUAGAUCAUUUACCAGAGAUAUGUGCGCCUUCCAUUUUUACUGACCUAUGGCAUCGCUACAGCAAGGAUGUGUGUAUGUGAUUUAGUACUAAUCUUUCAUCCAUGACAUGAGCCUAUCUGGCAUCUUGUUCAUUUAUAUUUUCCCAUGCUGAUGUGGUUUUCUUAUUAUUUCAAGGUAUAAUAUAAUGCAUGCCAUCAAGUUUGCUGUUUAUAGCUAUCAAAUUUGAAUAAUAAUUUGCAUCUACAGGGCAUUGAUAAAACUCCCUUUAAAUUGCUCAAUGCCUCUUAUUUAUCGUUCUCAUUUGUUCUUUUAACUAAUCCUGGAAUUGUAAUCCAUUUGUCGUAGGUCUAUAAUGGAAUAAUGAACUAUGCUACAACAAAAUUUUUGUACUCUCUCUGUUAUGUUUCCUAGGUUGGAGUGUUGAAUGAAGCUGGACAUAUAUAAUGACUGGGACUGUCUCUCUUCUCAAGAUAUGCUAUUUGGUAUAUGUUUCUGACUGACCCCUAUUUACUUGGUGUGUUUACCUAGGUAGAUCGAACUGGUGAAGUGUAUAAGAGUCCAUGGAGGUUGUCAUCUCUCUCCCAGCAGGAAGCUCGAUUGCCAGGAAGCACCACACGAGGCAAAACAAUAGAUAUUUUUGGUCUUGUACCAGCAAGUAGCUUGUUGGGCGAUGAUAAUUUCAGUCUUUACCAUUUGGUCUUGCCGGCCAUAUACUAAAAAUGAUCUGUAUGCCUCAUGUACUCAAGUACUUAAAUGCUUGCUGAGCACUGAUAAUUUCAGUCCUUAAUUUGCUCUAAUUCCAGUUUGACAUGUACGCGUGGUUCUGCUUGCCUCUUGUGAUGUGUUCUCAUGUACUCAAGUACUGAAAUGCUUGCCGAGCAGCUAUCAUUUCAAUUCUUAAAUUGAUAUAUUUCCAGUUUGACAUGUACGCGUGGUUCUACUUGAUCCGGGAUGGCUUAUUAUGUCAUGUACUAAAAUAUUUGUUAUAUAUAUUGUGGUUUCUUAGUGGCCAAGAUGUUCGACUCUCUUGAAAAAUUAGUGGUGUCACAUAAAUGUGUCUGGAUUUCAUGUAGUAAGUAUUUGAUCAGAUUUUAUAUAAGACCAGCUGUUUCAGACUAAGAGAACAUGGGCAUUAGCACAGUUCAUAUCUGAAAGUAGUUGUAUUUCACGAAGACUUGAGGUGCAUAAUGCAAAUAUUCUAUUUCAUGUCUAACUGUCGGUAGGGGGUUUUCUGUAAAAUCUACAUUAAGUGGGCUGAGAUCCCUCCACCUAAA
rnacentral:lncRNA from 1 species